UACGGAGGGUGCAAGCGUCAAUCGGAAUUACCGGGCGUAAAGGGUUCGUAGGUGGUUUGAUAAGUUAUCUGUAAAAGCCCUGGGCUCAACCUAGGAAGGUCAGAUAAAACUGUUGAACUCGAGUAUGGGAGAGGGUAGUGGAAUUUCCGGUGUAGCGGUGAAAUGCGUAGAGAUCGGAAGGAACACCAGUGGCGAAGGCGGCUACCUGGCCUAAUACUGACGCUGAGGAACGAAAGCGUGGGGAGCAAACAGG
rnacentral:rRNA from 1 species